rnacentral:tRNA from 1 species
GGCUCUGUGGCGCAAUGGAUAGCGCAUUGGACUUCUAGCGUAUGGAUGAAAGUCAUUCAAAGGUUGCGGGUUCGAGUCCCGCCAGAGUCG